rnacentral:rRNA from 1 species
UACGUAGGGGGCUAGCGUUGUCCGGAAUCAUUGGGCGUAAAGCGCGUGUAGGCGGUUCGGUAAGUCCGCUGUGAAAGUCGGGGGCUCAACCCUCGGAUGCCGGUGGAUACUGUCGGACUAGAGUACGGAAGAGGCGAGUGGAAUUCCUGGUGUAGCGGUGAAAUGCGUAGAUAUCAGGAGGAACACCGGUGGCGAAGGCGCUCAUCUGGCCCAAUACUGACGCUGAGGCGCGAAAGCUAGGGGAGCAAACGGG